rnacentral:tRNA from 1 species
GAAGCUCAGUGGUAAAGCAUCUGUUUUGCAUACAGAAGGUCCCAGGUUCAUACUCCAGCAUCUCCA